rnacentral:rRNA from 1 species
UAGCUAGUUGGAAGGGUAAAGGCCUCCCAAGGCGACGAUCGGUAGCUGGUCUGAGAGGAUGGCCAGCCACACUGGGACUGAGACACGGCCCAGACUCUUACGGGAGGCAGCAGUGGGGAAUAUUGGACAAUGGGGGGAACCCUGAUCCAGCAAUGCCGCGUGUGUGAAGAAGGCCUGAGGGUUGUAAAGCACUUUCGGUAGGGAGGAGGAUUAUUUGGUUAAGAGCUGGAUGAUUGGACGUUACCUACAGAAGAAGCACCGGCUAACUCCGUGCCAGCAGCCGCGGUAAUACGGAGGGUGCGAGCGUUAAUCGGAAUUACUGGGCGUAAAGGGUGCGUAGGUGGUUUGAUAAGUUAGCUGUGAAAGCCCUGGGCUCAACCUGGGAAGGUCAGCUAAGACUGUUAGACUCGAGUAUGGGAGAGGGUAGUGGAAUUUCCGGUGUAGCGGUGAAAUGCGUAGAGAUCGGAAGGAACACCAGUGGCGAAGGCGGCUACCUGGCCUGAUACUGACACUGAGGCACGAAAGCGUGGGGAGCAAACAGGAUUAGAUACCCUGGUAGUCCACGCUGUAAACGAUGUCAACUAGCUGUUGGUCAUAUGAAUGUGAUUAGUGGCGC